AAACCUGUUUCAACAUAAACUCACUAUUUACUUCAUUUAUUCACUUCCUCCCCUGUUUUCUCACCAUUACCAGUCCUCCCACUCAACAUGAAGCAAUCUUGCCUCAUUAGCAACACACCACACAAAUUCUCAUGCAAAGAAAAAGAUAAAUAAAAAGAGAUAUCAAACCUUCAACCAAAAGAGCUUUAAACUUCUUCUUAGCUUCCUUGUUCUCCUACUUUGAGCUUCCCUCUCCUAAACAUAAUCACUCUGAUAAAUCAUCUAAAAGAUCACAAAAGUAUGAACUUUAAGAAAAGCUACUUACUUGGAUAGAGUUCUAGGUUGAAGUUAGUGUGUCAAUUACAUGAAAAGUGAUGGAGAAAGGAAGGAGAUGAAGAGAAAGAUGAAAGAGAUGCAGAGGAAGAUGAAGAUGAAGAAGACGUUGACGAUGAAGAUGAAGAAAAUAAAGAAAGCAAAUGAAAUGGAAGUCUCGUAUACUUCCCAACCAUCUCUUUAAAUGUAUGGGACAACUACCAAAUAAGACCUACAGUUUCUACAUGUUACAUUUUAAUCCCUCAACUAUAUUGUUUGAGUGC
rnacentral:lncRNA from 1 species